rnacentral:piRNA from 1 species
UGCCAGGGCAGUGACCUGCAAAUGAUGUUC